UGGGGAAUUUUGGACAAUGGGGGGCAACCCUGAUCCAGCCAUGCCGCGUGAGUGAAGAAGGGCCUUCGGGUUGUAAAGCUCUUUCAGUGGGAACGAAACGGCGGGCUCUAACAUAGCCUGUUAAAUGACGGUACCCACAGAAGAAGCACCGGCUAACUACGUGCCAGCAGCCGCGGUAAUACGUAGGGUGCGAGCGUUAAUCGGAAUUACUGGGCGUAAAGCGUGCGCAGGCGGUUUCGCAAGCUAGGCGUGAAAGCCCCGGGNUUAACCUGGGAAUGGCGCUUAGGACUGCGAGGCUAGAGUACGGCAGAGGGAGGUAGAAUUCCCACGUGUAGCAGUGAAAUGCGUAGAGAUGUGGAGGAAUACCGAUGGCGAAGGCAGCCUCCUGGGCCUGUACUGACGCUCAUGCACGAAAGCGU
rnacentral:rRNA from 1 species